rnacentral:lncRNA from 1 species
AUAAGGGAGCUACCAUUUGAUUUUUAUGGGGGGGGGGGCUAGGAUGAAAAAUUUUGUCCUGCAUUUUUUUUUAGUUGUAAUCUCUGUCCUGCCUUUUUAUUUUUCACUCUCUUCGGUCCUGCCUUUUUUUUUUUUAGUUUAUCCUGACUUUUUUUACCUAAAUUGUCGUCCUGACUUUUUUUUUGUAAGUGUCUCAUCCUGCCUAUUUUUUUCAAAUUUCAUCCUAGCCCCCCCAUAAAAAUCAAAUGGUAGCUCCCUAAAGGAACAAGAUGAAAUGAAA